ACAAAUGCGUUGCUGAAUUCGGCAGAUACUGACGUGACGGCACUCCUUUUUGGUACACACCCAAUUCCGCAAGGAGUUAUUUUUCAAUGCAUCAGAGCUCCACACCCCUGCCCAAUAGAGAAGUGCGCACCAUAGGGAGAGACAGGUCGGAAUGACUCUGGGUCCUACAACCCCUUGUGUUCCAGGAAACUUUGAAAAAGCAGAGCUUUUUCCUCUUCACCAAGACAAUGUUUAACAAUACUGUCAUUCAGCAGAAAUGGUUGACAGAACACUGUGAACCUCCGGUAAAACUCAACAUCUCCUGGUGCCUAAGGAGCUCCCGCUGCUUCGACGAGCCUCUGAAGGCAGGGAGCUACUUCAGAACGCCAACUGUGAAGCAGGACGGAUGCAGUGGGUUCUAUGUGUUUUAUCAGUACCCUGCCGUUGAGUGCAAACAGCACAUGACCCACAGUGAGGUACAGUAUAUGGCAAUGGAGGGUCUCAUAAGAAGGGCUUUCAUGGAGAGACACCUUCCCCUCCAGGAGACUGUCUAACAUGACGACAACACCACCCCAAUGGGUGUUGCUGGGCAGCUUCAAUGUAAUGCUCUUAUUCUUCUCACUUUGCUUUGUGAGGUAGAUUGCAGCUAUAACUUGAUAACCCUUCACAUACCUAACCAUUUCCUUGGCUCUCUUGUAGACUGUAUCCACUGUUUUCAGUGCCAUGACGUCCUUGCGGAGCAGAUUCAAUGCAUGAGCAGCACAGCCAAUGGGUGUGAUGUGAGGGUAGGACUCCACUUUACACAAAGCAGCCUUCAUGUUUGCAGCAUUGCCUGUCACCAAUACCUUCUGUGGUCCAAGGUCAUUGAUGACUUCCUUCAGCUCAUCUGCAAUGUAGUGUCCCUUGUGUCUGUGCUCUUGUAAAAUACUGGUUGAGGGGUGGAGAUGAUGUAGUUAAUAAUUCCUUGCACACAAACAUUUGACCGCCCAUCAGAGAGGAUUUCAAUACAGUCUGCUUUCUCUAUGAUUUACUUGAACUCUGUUUUUUUUAUUUUUUGUUUUUUUUACCUUUAUUUAACCAGGCAAGUCAGUUAAGAACAUAUUCUUAUUUUCAAUGACGGCCUGGGAACAGUGGGUUAACUGCCUGUUCAAGGGCAGAGCGACAGAUUUGUACCUUGUCAGCUCGGGGGUUUGAACUCGCAACCUUCCGGUUACUAGUCCAACGCUCUAACCACUAGGCUGUUGAACUCUGCAUCCAGCAAAUGAGUAGAUAAAGCAUAUCUGGUUGGAAGGGUGUAUGCUGGGCGACGAACAUUCAGAAAUCUCUUCCAAUACACAUUGCCUGUGAGCAUCAGAGGUGAACCAGUUGCAUACACAGCUCGAGCAAGACAUUCAUCAGCAUUUCUCUGACUACGUUCCUCCAUUGAGUAAAGAACAACAACGUAUAAUUCCAGGAGGAACAUGAGCUGUUGCUGUCAAUAAAGGUGUCUGCUUCAUCAUUUCCACCUCGAAUAUAAGUAGAGAGACUUUUGUCAGAGGUUGCUUGUGAGCGCUGAGGGAAAUGUAUGCACUUGGCCAGAUGAUUCUGCAUCUUUGUUGCAUUCUUCACAUAUGAUUUGGCACAGUAUAUGCAAAUAUACACAGCUUUUCCUUCUACAUUAGCUGCAGUGAAAUUUCUCCACACAUCAGAUAGUGCCCGUGGCAUUUUCCUGUAAAGAUUAGAAACAGAUUAGUAAAAAAAAACACAAAUGCAAUUCCAUGUACAGAUAAAUAGUUAAGCAGUUAGAUUAAACAACUCCUUUGUAAGAUAAAUGUUUUAAAAUAAAACAUAUAGAAACAGGCGAAUUAACACUCCUCAGUUAGCAGGCUCAAGUAAGCUAAACCCACAUGUUAGCAAAAACUAACUACCAGAAAUUGUAAACAAGUUAGAAAUGAUAGAAACACUUUGCAGUAGGCUACUAUUCGCUAGUUAACAAAAAGUAUGUCAUAUGAAAUAUAUUCAUCCCACCCAGUAUUGUAAUCAAAACUUACCAGAAUGCAUGUAGCCCUUGGCCCAGACAGCGUGGGCUCAAUAGCAUCUCAUAAGUGUGUAAGAUCUUGAGAAUCAGCCGUACAUGUGAUAGAAGAAUGCACUGUGCAUGCAGAGGAUUGUGAUUCCAUUGAAUUGGGGAUAGUUUAACCAAAAUAUGCCACAAGACCUAUAAUUGCCUUGUGUAUCCCACAAAAAAAUGGUUCACUGUUAUAAGCUAACUUGUUUGAAACAUUUAAGCAAAGUACUCCAAAUUCCCGGGCUUGACUUCCCAUGGAAAAUUUUCUGAAAAGUUUCUGACGCUUUGCAACCCUAAUAGUAACACAGUAAUUCACCUAGGUGUCAUUGGAAUGGCUGUCUUUAUCCCCCUGUUUUAGCCUGUCACUGUCAAGGACAAAGAGAUGAGGAAAAGGACCGCUGGGAAUCCAAAGGAGACGUUUGCUGUUAAAGCGGAGGCAACUGUGGUCACAGGCAAAGCCCCAGCCCCCGCUGCAAAGAAACAAGUGGGAAAACAUUUGUUCAGCCAGCUAUUUCCUAAUGCCUGGCUGUCUUAAGACGUAGAGAUCCUAUAUUGUAGCUCUAUGCUCCUAGACUCCCCAGCAUCACAUUGAUGCAAUGGCUCAGACCUGGGAGGAUGGCCUUACAUGUUCAUCAUCCCACAUCAAAGAGAUCAAGGAGAAGAGCAGCACCGCCACUGACUCUGUCCCACCACAGAACUGGGACAUCCAACAUAACGAAUAUUAUUAUGUCCUUCACCCCCUGCAGUGGAAGUCAGUAGGAACAGGAACCCUUUGACUACAUCUGUUUCAGAAUGACUUAUGAUCGUAAGUCAAUUCUGCCGUGGUAAGUUGUCUACAUGGAAAACAGUCUAUGCUACAGCUUCAUUACAUGUAGUAUAAUGAACACAAGUAGCUUCUAAGGUGUGGUCCUAUAGGGCAUACUCUCUAUCUUACCGGACAAUACAGACUCUCUAGUUCGUUGCCAGCUCACCUAACUGUCCCUUUUGCAGUUCUACAUGGUGAUGUGUGUCAUCUAUGUGUUGCUGGGCCUGCACUGUGGCCUUGGCUGUCAGUCUGCUACUGGAGAGAGCUACUCGGGAUCCAGUUCUGGAUCGGCGGGGUUAUCUUCCUGUGCAUGCUGGAGAAGGCCGUGUACUAUGCCGAGUUCCAGAGCAUCCGCUAUGACGGCCUCUCCGCUCAGGAGGGGGAGAGACAAGAACCUUACAGAAAAGCCACUUGAUUUCACUUAUGAAAUUUCACCUGAAAUUCACGUGAUCACUUGAGAAACACGUUUUUGUCUGUAAUUGGUCUUUUAAGGAAAUCAACAUGGGGUUUAAGUGGUCAUAUUUGGUGGACACCCCUAAACACACAUUUUCAGCCAAUUUUGUUUUCUACCUAAAUCUUCCUGGUGGGCAAGGUUGGAAUUGGGUAAAAUAUAGUUGCUCCUAGUGUGGUGCUAAAUGUGCAGUUGUACUCCAUUUUAAUCAUCUUUAUAUGUGUGCUGUGUCCUCCAACAGUCCAGGGGGCAGUAGUGUUUGUGGAGAUCCUUUCGGCAGUGCGGACCCUGGCCCGUGUGCUCGCCAUCAUCGCUAGUCUUGGUUAUGGAAUUGUCAAGGGAGUCAGUCCCUUCAUAAGAGGUCACAUUGUUAAGACAGUGGAGAGUGUUAAACUCUAUUUCCAAUUCUGUCUCUCUCUGUCUCUGUCUCUCUGACUCUGUCUGUCUGUCGCUCUCUCUCUCUGCCUGCCUGUCUCUCUCUCUCCGUAGGCCAAGGCUCAGUGCAUUGAUAUACAGGGUGGUUGGGGUGGGACUGCUCAUUUCAUUUUUAUUUUGACCUUAUCUUCUCCGUUGUCGAGGGAAUCCUGAGGGUAAAUUCGGGUAAGUCUGGUCUCUGUCCUCUCCUUUCUGAUCAAUAUACUACCUCGGUAUUCCCCCAAAAUAUAUUGUCCACCUAACUAGACUAUUAAAACAUUUUGAUACGUUUUUGAUACGGAACUAAACAAAACAAUGCCAUGAUGCUCUUUGUUGAAUAUCUUCAUCUUUGGCCAAAGGAUGCCAGGAAUCUUGUGUGUGUGUCGUAGUACCGUCAUUCCACUGUCAGUGUUUGCCUGUCUUUCUCACAGGGUCAGGGGGCAGUAGCAGACUACUGUGUGACAUUAUUCUGGCGUUCACUGACUCGUGCUUUGUGUGGUGGAUAUCCUUUUGGAGUGGUCAGACAUUAGAGGCCAUCAGUCUGCCUGUCUGUCAGUCAACGUGUUAAUCUAGUUGUCACUGUAUGCAGUUAGUCUGUCAGUAUUAAGAACUCUUUUAUUUUUCUCCCUCCUGGGCAUGUUUGUCUUGAGCUGUGUUUCCAAAGCUUACUCAGAUCUCCUCAUCCCUUUUACCAGUGUCUCUCAUAACUUCUCCAACAAGUUUGAUUCCAACCCUCUUUGAGUGGCAGUUUGGUUAUACACGGGUCCUCUUGGUGUGUAUCUGUCUAUCUACAUGGCUGCCUGAAGAGUAUGUGAUAAUGUCCCCUCGCUCCCUCUGUCACUCCCUCUGUCACUCUGCCCUUUCUCCUGCCCCUCUGUGCUUGUAUCCGUUCCCCUCCCUCUCUGUCCCUUUCAGGCUGAAGAUGAUCUGGUGCCGCUUGCUGCCAUUCCGUUGGCUGUGCUCGACUCUACCCUCUGCUGGUGGAUAUCCUGUACUGUACUUCCCUUCACAUCUCACUUUCUCUCCCUCUCACCCCCCCCCUCCCCUUCCCCCCUCCGACUUCAUCUUCCAACGCUCUCACUUCCUGAAAUCCCUGUGUGCGGACAGUGCCUUGGUGUUGGUUGGUGUUGGCACUUCUCCCUCUAUUUCCGCCUGCCUUCGCCUUUGUCUCAGAGAAGGGAAUAACCCAGAAGGGAAUAUUUCCAGAAAAUAUCCUCCGCCUCACAAAAACAAAUGUAGACAUCAGCCAUAGUCACAUGUUUAAUUACAGGGCCACUUAUAGCAAGGCUAUCAAUAACUUUAUUUUUCUCCUGCAGUUUGACAGGACAGUAUUUUAGUGGAUUCAGUUAGUUAACCAAUUAGCCAGAAAACCAGUUAGUAUAGCGAUGACUAAGACCACACCAGGUUUUCCAGCCGUGCUUAACCUGGCCAUGGGGGGCAGAGGGAAGCUCAACUCCUCCUGAGUGAUGAGAAAAUGUCUGAAAACCCUCAGAGACUUACACCCUGAUUAGCUUGGGUUUAUGUUCAGGUAUAUCAGCUCAGUUGACAAGGUAGGCAAACUCUUCGGUGUUGGUUAUGUUGAAAGUCAAUGGAAGAAGACUGGUAUUAUUGGGUUAACUGUUUCUGUUGAGAAUUGUAUUUCAAACGGUGGGCUGUUUGUUACCCGGGUGUGUCCUGGGGUUAUGUUGGGAGUCCUUGACAGCCAAUCACAUCUUUAUCAGCCUGGCCCAGACCAUGAAGCUCCUUCGCCUCCGAAGAAACGUGGUCAACCUCUCCCUGUAUCGCCACUUUACCAACACCCUCAUAUUCGCCGUUAUUGCCUCAGUAAUUUUCAUUAUCUGGAUGAUGAAGACCUUCAAUGUUUCAAAGUGCCAGUCAGACUGGAUGGAGCUGUGGAUAGACUGCUUCCUGGCGGUUCCUCUUCCCCACCAUCCUUCAGGUCAUCAUGUAUCUGUGGAGGCCGUCUGCCAACAACCAGAGAUACACCUUCAGCCCCCUAGUGGACGAGGAGCGUGACGACGAGGCAAAGGAACAGCUGAUGAAUGAUACAUUUGUGUACUUCCAGAGGGCGUGAAGACGAGGGGUCUGAAGUCCAAGACAAGUGGAACAGCCUGCUGGAGCGCGUGCUACGGAUGGGUGUUCGUGACCAGUGAACUGAGAUAAGGCGGAGCUUUACCUAGCAGGGACUUGGAGCCAGUGGGUCUGGCGACAAAUAUGUAGCGAGGGCCAGCCGACUAGAGCAUACAAGUCGCAGUGGUGGGUGGUAUAAGGUGCUUCAGUGACAAAACGGAUGGCAAUGUGAUAAACUGCAUCCAGUUUGCUGAGUAGAGUGUUGGAAGCAAUUUUGUAGAUGACAUCGCCAAAGUCGAGGAUCGGUUGGAUAGUCAGUUUUACUAGGGUAAGUUUGGUGGCGUGAGUGAAGGAGGCUUUGUUGCGGAAUAGAAAGCCGACUCUUGAUUUGAUUUUCGAUUGGAGAUGUUUGAUAUGAGUCUGGAAGGAGAGUUUACAGUCUAGCCAGACACCUAGGUACUUAUAGAUGUCCACAUAUUCAAGGUCGGAACCAUCCAGGGUGGUGAUGCUGGUCAGGCAUGCGGGUGCAGGCAGCGAACGGUUGAAAAGCCAUGCCAGCGUAGCCAUACUAGCGUUUAAGAGCAGUUGGAGGCCACACAAGGAGUGUUGUAUGGCAUUGAAGCUCGUUUGGAGGUCAGAUAGCACAGUGUCCAAGGACGGGCCGGAAGUAUAUAGAAUGGUGUCGUCUGCAUAGAGGUGGAUCAAGGAAUCGCCCGCAGCAAGAGCAACAUCAUUGAUAUAUACAGAGAAAAGAGUCGGCCCGAGAAUUGAACUCUGUGGCACCCCCAUAGGUUGGAGUAGCCAGGCGGAAGGCAUGGCCAGCCGUUGAGAAAUGCUUGUUGAAGUUUUCGAUAAUCAUGGAUUUAUCGGUGGUGACCGUGUUACCUAGCCUCAGUGCAGUGGGAAGCUGGGAGGAGGUGCUCUUGUUCUCCAUGGACUUCACAGUGUCCCAGAACUUUUUGGAGUUGGAGCUACAGGAUGCAAACUUCUGCCUGAAGAAGCUGGCCUUAGCUUUCCUGACUGACUGCGUGUAUUGGUUCCUGACUUCCCUGAACAGUUGCAUAUCGCGGGGACUAUUCGAUGCUAUUGCAGUCCGCCACAGGAUGUUUUUGUGCUGGUCGAGGGCAGUCAGGUCUGGAGUGAACCAAGGGCUGUAUCUGUUCUUAGUUCUGCAUUUUUUUUUAACAGAGCAUGCUUAUCUAAAAUGGUGAGGAAGUUACUUUUAAAGAAUGACCAGGCAUCCUCAACUGACGGGAUGAGGUCAAUGUCCUUCCAGGAUAUCCGGGCCAGGUCGAUUAGAAAGGCCUGCUCACAGAAGUGUUUUAGGGAGCGUUUGACAGUGAUGAGGGGUGGUCGUUUGACUGCAGCUCCGUAGCGGAUACAGGCAAUGAGGCAGUGAUCGCUGAGAUCCUGGUUGAAGACAGCGGAGGUGUAUUUGGAGGGCCAGUUGGUCAGGAUGACGUCUAUGAGGGUGCCCUUGUUUACAGAGUUAGGGUUGUACCUGGUGGGUUCCUUGAUGAUUUGUGUGAGAUUGAGGGCAUGUAGCUUAGAUUGUAGGACUGCCGGGGUGUUAAGCAUAUCCCAGUUUAGGUCACCUAACAGAACAAACUCUGAAGCUCUGCACAGAAAGGAUAGUUGAGAAGACAACUGUAAUCCAGUUCAGCUGUAAAUCAAGCCAACAUGUUUUCCUUUCUGUCCCAGUGCACUGCCCCCUCUACUGGACUGACGAGUUAAGACAAGGUGUUAUUCCUGGUGUGAACAGCAGGUGGUGCAAGCUCCAUGCUUAUUAAAGAGCAGUAGCUUGUCGGGUUUCCAGCUUGUUUAUCCCUCCCUGUUUUCUUGCUGGCUUGAACAAUGAGAGGGUGUGGAAGGGUGGUAUCUUUUUCUUUUUUUUUUACAACCCCACAUCAAAUAAAGUCAUUAGGAUUGUCAAUGCAAGGGAUAUCUUUAAGAUAUAUUUUUUACUUCAAAAUGUGAAUAUACUUGUAUGGAAAGGGUCGUCGGUAGAUCAGAUCGCAUGUAUCUUUUCUAUUAAAGCUUUUGUGAAGAUCGAUUGACUUCAAUGUCCAUCUUUGUUUUUCAGUCCACCAUGUCGCCUUUGGAAAGUCAUUCCAACUAUGCUUUUAUUUACCCACAGGAGACCAUGACAAGCAAUUUUGAGAUGUCUAAAAUGGAAUAGACCGAGGGAGACGAUGUGCACUGCAGACAGAGACCGUGCGUUGGACAACCCUAUGUCUGUAUAUGAAGGAUAUUAUCCCGUAUGAGCUUUGUAAGCAGCGGUUGUAAAUACGAUGGGAUAAACUAUGACGUAAUGAGCUCACUAUUUUAUCUUUGAAUGCCUGCUUAUUUAUAUUUUUGUGGAUAUCUGGUUUAUUUAUUUUUUUAGAUUCUUUACUACAAAUGGUAUCUAGCCUUUCACUGUUUACAUAGGUAAAGUGCGGGAAUGUGAUUAAAUGUGUUUUUUUGUCCAGUA